AUUGAACGCUGGCGGCAGGCCUAACACAUGCAAGUCGAAUGGUAACAGGAAACAGCUUGCUGUUUCGCUGACGAGUGGCGGACGGGUGAGUAAUGUCUGGGAAACUGCCUGAUGGAGGGGGAUAACUACUGGAAACGGUAGCUAAUACCGCAUAACGUCGCAAGACCAAAGAGGGGGACCUUCGGGCCUCUUGCCAUCAGAUGUGCCCAGAUGGGAUUAGCUAGUAGGUGGGGUAACGGCUCACCUAGGCGACGAUCCCUAGCUGGUCUGAGAGGAUGACCCGCUACACUGGAACUGAGACACGGUCCAGACUCCUACGGGAGGCAGCAGUGGGGAAUAUUGCACAAUGGGCGCAAGCCUGAUGCAGCCAUGCCGCGUGUAUGAAGAAGGCCUUCGGGUUGUAAAGUACUUUCAGCGGGGAGGAAGGGAGUAAAGUUAAUACCUUUGCUCAUUGACGUUACCCGCAGAAGAAGCACCGGCUAACUCCGUG
rnacentral:rRNA from 1 species